rnacentral:rRNA from 1 species
ACCUCGAUGUCGGCUCAUCGCAUCCUGGGGCUGUAGUCGGUCCCAAGGGUUGGGCUGUUCGCCCAUUAAAGCGGUACGCGAGCUGGGUUCAGAACGUCGUGAGACAGUUCGGUCCCUAUCCGUCGUGGGCGUAGGAAAUUUGAGAGGAGCUGUCCUUAGUACGAGAGGACCGGGAUGGACAUACCUCUGGUGUACCAGUUGUCGUGCCAACGGCAUAGCUGGGUAGCUAUGUGUGGACGGGAUAAGUGCUGAAAGCAUCUAAGCAUGAAGCCCCCCUCAAGAUGAGAUUUCCCAACUUCGGUUAUAAGAUCCCUCAAAGAUGAUGAGGUUAAUAGGUUCGAGGUGGAAGCAUGGUGACAUGUGGAGCUGACGAAUACUAAUCGAUCGAAGACUUAAUCAAAA